rnacentral:rRNA from 1 species
CCUACGGGAGGCAGCAGUGGGGAAUUUUGGACAAUGGGCGAAAGCCUGAUCCAGCCAUGCCGCGUGAGUGAAGAAGGCCUUCGGGUUGUAAAGCYCUUUUAGUCGGAAAGAAAGAGUUGCAAUGAAUAAUUGUGAUUUAUGACGGUACCGACAGAAAAAGCACCGGCUAACUACGUGCCAGCAGCCGCGGUAAUACGUAGGGUGCGAGCGUUAAUCGGAAUUACUGGGCGUAAAGGGUGCGCAGGCGGUCUUGCAAGUCAGAUGUGAAAGCCCCGGGCUUAACCUGGGAAUUGCGUUUGAAGCUACAAGGCUAGAGUGCAGCAGAGGGGAGUGGAAUUCCAUGUGUAGCAGUGAAAUGCGUAGAGAUGUGGAAGAACACCGAUGGCGAAGGCRGCUCCCUGGGUUGACACUGACGCUCAUGCACGAAAGCGUGGGGAGCAAACAGGAUUAGAUACCCUGGUAGUCCACGCCCUAAACGAUGUCAACUAGUUGUCGGAUCUAAUUAAGGAUUUGGUAACGUAGCUAACGCGUGAAGUUGACCGCCUGGGGAGUACGGUCGCAARAUUAAAACUCAAAGGAA